rnacentral:pre_miRNA from 1 species
GUUGGGAAGAGGAAGAAAAGAACAUCUAAGAGCAUUGGGCAUGGGAACAUGGAGGAAAGCAUGAUCCAUUACUUCCCUCUAAUAUUAUGGGUCACAAAAUGUUUCUGUGUUUUCCAAUGCCUCCCAUGCCUAUUGUCCUUAGAUGUUCAUUCCACUUCCUUCUGGCU